UUUGGUUGGGCGGGUUGUUUUCCGGUACACAUUAAAAUGUCAAUAUACCCAGUUGUCUAUAUUCAAAAACAAUGUUAAUAUUUCUCGGACGAAAUUGACAUUACGUGCUUUUCUAAAUGUAAAUUGAGAAAUAUAACUGGUUUGCUAAUUUAACCGAUAUGAAAACUGAAGUUGCGAGGGUAUUGACGUCGAGUAUGCACCAGAAUCAAAAAUAGCCGUCCUGUAUUUUGAUAGCCAGUCCGUUCGCUUCAAUCCAUUUGAACGUUCAUCUUGUUUCGAUUAGACUUAUCAUUUCAGGUGAAGCUAUCUGAAAAGAAUACAGUAAUGAGACGAGUAGUGUGGAUUUUAAGAGAUGUAUUUUUUUUAGGUCAGUGUGUUCUAUGCAUUAGUGUAAAUCUCAGAAGGCUUCGAUGUGGUGAGUGUUCCUGUUUGUAACGAGGGAAGCAGAUUUCAACGGCUGAUGAACCCCGCUGCGAGACAGAUUGGGAUUAAUUUUGUGUGGCAAAGAGGGGAGAACUCAGUGAAAGAAACACACCGUAACUCAAAAACAGAGAAGAAGAAGAAAAAAAAAAUCUCCCAGAGAGAAAGUGACACAUUACACAACAUUUACACCUUCCGUUGAAACCAACCCUAUUUAUCCAGCGGAGAAGGGCACAUAUAUUCUUAGGUUCAGUCGUGUGUUCAAAAUGUGUUAGCAUUGAGCCGCUUGUGGAAAUCGCAUUACUCUAUGACUCACCAAGUGGGAACCGGGCUGUGGGGAGCCAUUUCCUGUCACCCUGUGAUUCCCUUUGGCCUUUAGAGACAUUUUCUCACAAUAAAUGAAAGUAAUAAAAUGAAAGUGAAUGGUG